UUUAGCCAAUCAGAUCGCUUCAUUCAUGACGACGUCACACAGUCACGUGACUUAGCGCCGGCUAUUAUUAGCAGGGUCAUGCCGGGGAGUAGGGAGACACGGAGAGGCAGUGGGGAUGCCAAGAGAAGGCUGUGCUCAGGAGUCGUCGGCUACCGCGUCCGAGAUCGUGCGAUUAGAGCACACACGUGUAAUCCAGACCGUGGAAUCGGCCAGGUUUUUUUUUCCUGCGGUCCUGCAAAGAAUGAUGGCGAGCUAGAGACCAGGCCGAGAGCCUAACCGGAGCUCCGGUUUUCCAGCCGGAGACCAAGUGCUACCUCUGCCGGGCCGGUAGGGGCUCCUGAAGCCAGCAACCUCUCACCCCCACACAACUUGACCUACACCCACACAACCCACACAUGCUCGGACUCUUCCGCAGAGUCACCAGCUGUUAAGACCCAGACGUGGGUCAUGUGAACUUUGGGUGGGAUGAAUGGACAAUUGGGUUGAUUUCUUCUGUCCAAGGGGUGU